CAGACUUGGCAGUGUGGGAACAAGAGAGACACAGCACAUGCUGUCCCUUCUCUCCUGAAGCCAGCAGUCUUGGAGGGACACGACCCAGUCCACAGGCAUUCAAGUUCAGGAAAGGCACAUUGGAGGGUACUUAGCACAAGCUGGGAGGUUGGGAUGGUUUGAAGGUCAAAGUACAAGGGCCAGGUGAGUGUUACACAACUGAAAAGAAGGAGAACAAGUAUGAUCUGAGGCAAAGGAAGGAGCCAUGCAUCAGCUGAGAAGAGCAGAAGUGUGACAUGAUCAGGGAAUAACAAAAUGGCUCAGCAUGGAGGGUGGAUUCAGUCAGCUUUCACCACUGUAGAGCAACAAGUUUACAGAAUGGGUGUACCAGUCAGCCCCUGUGAUAUCCAGGUUCUAUACCAGUUUGGUAAAUGGCAAGAGAAGAAACUGAAAAGCCCAAAGGAAGCUCAUCUAUCAGAUUAAACGGAGGCUUCACCGGAUUUGUGGCAAAUAAAUUGACAAGCGAGGGCACAGAUGACAAGAGAGCGAUAAUUGAUGGAGCCAAGUGGGGGCCUGGUGCACUGGCAGGUCCUGUGGAGGGUGAGCCAAGGACAUCUAUCAAUCAAAUUGGUGACAGCAGCCAGCGAGACUUAAUUGAAGGCAGAUCUCAGUGUCCGUAGGAAGACAAUGGCCCAGGAUUUCUCAAUUAACCCC
rnacentral:lncRNA from 1 species